rnacentral:tRNA from 1 species
AUAGCUAUAGUAUAAUUAAUACUUAUGAUUUCCAAUCAUUUAAUCUUUAUGUCACUUAAAGUAGCUAUA